AUGGCACUCGGGGCCCCGGGCGCAUCUGGAAGCUUGAGAAGGAAGCAGAUGGGAUGGGCACGCCCCGAAACCCCUUCCAGCCGGCCCUCCGGGGCAACUGGUCGGGGGGAAGCCACCAGGUUCCAGAUGCUAGCAUGAUGCCAACCUGACUUCCCUAGACAGACAACCCCACCAGUGUGUCCUGGAGCUCUGAUUCCCCAGAGCCCUUCCUCACUAGGGAAAGGGAGAGGCAGGCUGGAAGUAUGGAUCGACCUGUCAACGCCCAUGUUCAGCGGGGAAGCAAUUACAGAAGCCAGACCUUCCACCUUCUGCAUCCCACAAUGACCUUGGGUCCGUACUCCCAGAGGGAUAAAGAAUAGGAAAGGUAUCGGGGGGAGGGCAUGGGAUACGGAGUUCUGGUGGUGGGAAUUGUGUGGAGUUGUGCCCUUCUUAUUAUAUGGUUUUGUCAGUGUUUCCUUUUUAUAAAUAAUAAUAAUAAAAAGAACAGACCUUGACAA